ensembl:lncRNA
UCCAGAGCCCCACCUGCUGUGAUUCUGGUUGAGAUUCUUCUUCACCCAUUGGACAAGGAAGCUACUUCAGGAAGGAAACCAGCACAUGUCACCAGAAGAGAUGACUGCAUCAGUUUCUGCCUCAUUGGCAUGACAUUUCUUUUUUGUAUGCCACUUCAGGGUGAGGAUUUUACUGAAUCAGGAGUCCCACUGCAAUCUGUAAGUUGUUGUUCAGUGUCUGUAGAACAAUCUGAUCUUCCCUGCUUCUGAGGGUUGUACAAAAGACAGGUAAAUGUCCAGA